rnacentral:rRNA from 1 species
CCUACGGGCGGCAGCAGUGAGGAAUAUUGGUCAAUGGGCGGAAGCCUGAACCAGCCAAGUAGCGUGCAGGAUGACGGCCCUACGGGUUGUAAACUGCUUUUAUACGGGAAUAAAACGCCUUACGUGUAGUGCUUUGCAUGUACCGCAUGAAUAAGGACCGGCUAAUUCCGUGCCAGCAGCCGCGGUAAUACGGAAGGUCCGGGCGUUAUCCGGAUUUAUUGGGUUUAAAGGGAGCGUAGGCCGCAUGUCAAGCGUGCAGUGAAAUGCCCGGGCUCAACCAGGGCCCUGCGGCGCGAACUGGCGUGCUUGAGUGCGCGGAACGCAGGCGGAAUUCGUGGUGUAGCGGUGAAAUGCUUAGAUAUGACGAAGAACUCCGAUUGCGAAGGCAGCAUGCUGCAGCGGAACUGACGCUGAUGCUCGAAAGCGCGGGUAUCGAACAGGAUUAGAUACCCCAGUAGUC